UCAAAGCAUUAGGAAACAUACUUUUUAUACUCAUAGGAAUUAUCAGUCAUAGAAUCAACAAUAAUUACUUUAUUCUUUUCUUUAAAAAGGGCAUUUGUAGAAAUACCAACAUAGCUUCAUGAUCAUAUACGUCCAGAAUAUGAAUAAUGUACACUACUUGUAUUUGUGUCUUCAAAAACAUAACUAAAACUUCUUCCUUUUUCGGUUGGAUUAGAAGAUAUUCCUAAACUUGUCUCUAAACCGCUAGAUUGACUAAUACCAAUUGAAGAAGAUACACUUGGUCUACCACUACCUUCAACUCAUGUCUCUACUCCUAAAACAACUCUAUUAGGUAAAGUACUAUCAAAUAAAACUCUUUCCACUCUUGCUUCAGCAACCCCUCUUCAAAAUACUUCAUCACUACUUCAAAAAUAGUCUCUCGCUCAAACCCUACCAUCAUGAGAAGUUUUAUAAUCAUUUCCAUCUACAUGUUUCUCACCCUUUUGUAUUCAAAUCAUUUCUGUUUUCUUACCAAAAAAUGCAUUUGCCUCUUUCUUAUUAACUGUAGAUGCUAUUAUUGCACUUGGCACAACAAUCACAGUUGA
rnacentral:antisense_RNA from 1 species